rnacentral:tRNA from 1 species
UCCGGAUGUAGUGUAGCUGGGUAGCACGCUUGCCUUGGGAGUAAGUAGUGUGGGUUCAAAUCCUGCCGUUCGGAU